rnacentral:rRNA from 1 species
GAUGAACGCUGGCGGCGUGCUUAACACAUGCAAGUCGAGCGAGAAAAGUUCUUCGGAGCUUUUCUAGCGGCGGACGGGUGAGUAACACGUGGGCAACCUGCCUCAUAGAGGGGAAUAGCCUUCCGAAAGGAAGAUUAAUACCGCAUAACAUUGUUGACAGGCAUCUUUUAACAAUCAAAGGAGCAAUCCGCUAUGAGAUGGGCCCGCGGCGCAUUAGCUAGUUGGUGAGGUAACGGCUCACCAAGGCGACGAUGCGUAGCCGACCUGAGAGGGUGAUCGGCCACAUUGGAACUGAGACACGGUCCAGACUCCUACGGGAGGCAGCAGUGGGGAAUAUUGCACAAUGGGAGAAACCCUGAUGCAGCAACGCCGCGUGAGUGAUGAAGGUCUUCGGAUUGUAAAGCUCUGUCUUUAGGGACGAUAAUGACGGUACCUAAGGAGGAAGCCACGGCUAACUACGUGCCAGCAGCCGCCGUAACAC